rnacentral:rRNA from 1 species
AUUUGAAAUCUGGCUCUUUCAGAGUCCGAGUUGUAAUUUGCAGAGGGCGCUUUGGCGUUGGCAGCGGUCCAAGUUCCUUGGAACAGGACGUCACAGAGGGUGAGAAUCCCGUACGUGGUCGCUGGCCUUCGCCGUGUAAAGCCCCUUCGACGAGUCGAGUUGUUUGGGAAUGCAGCUCUAAAUGGGAGGUAAAUUUCUUCUAAAGCUAAAUACUGGCCAGAGACCGAUAGCGCACAAGUAGAGUGAUCGAAAGAUGAAAAGCACUUUGGAAAGAGAGUCAAAUAGCACGUGAAAUUGUUGAAAGGGAAGCGCUUGCAGCCAGACUUGCCUGUAGUUGCUCAUCCGGGCUUUUGCCCGGUGCACUCUUCUGUAGGCAGGCCAGCAUCAGUUUGGACGGUUGGAUAAAGGACUCUGUCACGUACCUCCUCUCGGGGAGGCCUUAUAGGGGAGUCGUCAUGCAACCAGUCUGGACUGAG